GAUGAAGAACGCAGUGAAACGCGAAAUGUAAUGUGAAUUGCAGAACCUCCAGUGAAUCAUCGAAUCUUUGAACGCAUCUUGCGCCCCGUGGCAUUCCGCGGGGCAUGUCUGUUUGAGUGUCGUUUGACCUCUCAACCGCUUUGGUAUUCGAUUACAAAAGUCGGCUUGGAACUUGGGUGCCUCUGGCGAAACGCAAGGGUCUUUGCGGACCUGUCGCCCACCCCAAAGUCAGUUGGGCCAACCGCGCGGAUGAGCGGACGGUUUGACCACAGUGUUGUAAGGUUCGCCUCACUGUCGGGACGUCCAUUUCCGUCGCAAUCAGGCAUUUGAAAUACGAUACUAUUGAUUUUGACCUCAAAUCAGACAGGACUACCCGCUGAACUUAAGCAUAUCAAUAAGCGGAGGA
rnacentral:misc_RNA from 1 species